AUAUGCGAAGGUCCUAAUAAAUCUCGCUUUAUGCCUUCUGAGCAUGGAGUCAAUGUCACCUUUCUUCAGCUGUUCCUAACUCAAUGUCGACGUCUGGUGACCCCUCCGGAAACUGCAGAACGAAUGGGAUGCUUUGGAUCUACACCAUCGGGAGACGCCGCUGCGGCCCUGCCGGUCCUCGCAGGACGGACUGGACGCCCUCUGUCCUCCAUUUAAGAGAGGAUGUCAGCUAGAAAGAGGACCUCGAAUGUCAGCCUGAAAAGGUGGACUCUCCUGUUGCUUUCAUGAGGAUGGAAGCCCCAGCUCUGCCUGCAUACCAGCGGACACAGCUGCACUCAUUCUCCUCCUCCGUACCACUCCUGGGAGCAGCGGCAGUGUGGGUGCGACCUGUCGCUUCUCCCCACUCUAGCUGAUUUUUAAUAAAGGUAUUUAAAAAGGAGAAAGAUCUCCUGCCCUAUUUAUUUCAGUGAUUCCCUGACCACCCACCGCUGCUUGCUUGCUUUCUUUACAAUAAAAGAUAUAGAAAUAAAA